rnacentral:lncRNA from 1 species
GGCAGGUAUAGUGGUGAAUAUUACAGCGGAGUGUAAUUUCCUCAGUACUAUUCUGGGAUAGAUAUUAGGGCUGUUCAUAAAUCCUCUAGCUUCAACUUUUCUUCCUCUUUAAAGGUGAACCAGUGCUUGAUUAGCUACGUUUCCUGUUUCUGCAUUGGUGAUCAUGGAAACAAAUGCUGAGAAGGAGCCUCUGCUGCCUGGGUACGUGAAUGACCACGGUGAACAGAGGGCUCAGUAAGGAACCCUGACGGACUGGUUUCAACUACUGUAGUGGGGGAAGACAAUCUGAUAUGAGAAAAAUGGAGACUUAAGGAAGAAAGAAGUUUUCCCCAUGAUGGCAUGAAGAAAAGCCACACAGUCCUCUGGCGGGAACCAUUAGAGGAAGGGACUAACAUUGUUCUCCCCUGAGUCUCUUCUUUGAGGCAGGGAGAAGACCCUGGAACAUCUGCAGGUGCAGAGAAAUGCCACCACUGGAUCAAGUGUUUGUCCUGUGAUAUGGAGACCACUCAAACAGCUUUACAAUUGUGUGCUAGUCAAGUGUAGAAUCAAAACCCUUUCUGUAGUUUCUGUUUGAGAAAAUAAAAAAGUUCUGGAGAUGGAUGGUUGUACAAUGUGAAUGUAUUUAACACUGAACAAUACAAUUAAAGACGGUAAAAUAGUAAAUGUUGUUAUGUAUAUUUUACCACAAUUUAAAAAAGACCCCUAUCAGUGGCUUAAAAUACCCUCAAAAAAUUGGUUCCCUUAUCAAUAUCCCACUGAGGGACUAAGUUAUAGAUUUAUUAUUCUGACUUUUGAAACCAGCAGCUUCUUUUUUUUUGAGUCAGAGUCUUGCUCUGUCGCCAGGCUGGAGUACAGUGGCACG